rnacentral:rRNA from 1 species
AUACGUAGGUGACAAGCGUUAUCCGGAUUUACUGGGCGUAAAGGGCGUGUAGGCGGUCUUGCAAGUCAGAAGUGAAAUUCCUGAGCUCAACUCGGGCGCUGCUUCUGAAACUGCAGGACUUGAGUGCUGGAGGGGAUAGCGGAAUUCCUAGUGGAGCGGUAAAAUGCGCAGAUAUUAGGAAGAACACCGGUGGCGAAGGCGGCUAUCUGGACAGUAACGGACGCUGAGGCGCGAAAGCGUGGGGAGCAAACAGGAUUAGAUACCCUGGUAGUCCACGCUGUAAACGAUGAAUACUAGGUGUAGGGGGUAUCGACUCCCUCUGUGCCGCAGUUAACACAAUAAGUAUUCCGCCUGGGGAGUACGGCCGCAAGGUUGAAACUCAAAUGAAUUGACGGGG